UUAAAUUGAAGAGUUUGAUCAUGGCUCAGAUUGAACGCUGGCGGCAGGCUUAACACAUGCAAGUCGAACGGUAACAGGAAGCAGCUUGCUGCUUUGCUGACGAGUGGCGGACGGGUGAGUAAUGUCUGGGAAACUGCCUGAUGGAGGGGGAUAACUACUGGAAACGGUGGCUAAUACCGCAU
rnacentral:rRNA from 1 species